rnacentral:lncRNA from 1 species
GGGGAGGCGAGGCUUCGCCAAGCAAAGAAGUUUUUUUUACUCUUUCUCCGGAGCCUGCGCAGACGGAACCUUCUCUUCCCCCCCCUUCUCUCUCUCCGGGGGCAUGGGAGUGGGCGGUCCCGCUCGAACCAGUGCCGUUGGUGCCGCUCCUGCCAGCCUCUCCGACUCCGCCCGCCCAGAGAUGGGGGCGGCACCGGUCUCUGAGGCCUCCCCGCCCCUGUCAGCUCCUCCACUCCAGGCGAUCCCGUCUCUGCCUCUCCCGUCGGUCCCGCCCACGGCUUCACAGGCCUCCCUGCCCCUGCCAGCGCCUGCGACUGAGAAUGCAGAAGAGGCACUUCCUGUGGCUGCUGAGUUGCUAAGCGACGACGACGCGUCUCCAGCUUCCGGCUCAGCGGAGGAGUUGUUCUCUCCGGCCCCUCCGGCCCCUCUGCCGUUUCCAUCGGCUUCCUCGCCGCCUCAGGCCGAGACGGUUCCUGUUCAGGAUGGUGCUGGAGACGGCGCCGAACCUGCGGGACCCUCGGAAAAGCCCACGGCCACUCCUACACCCAGCGUGAUUUCCUCCCCGGUUCCGGCUUCCCCCCUGCUGCCUGCACAGACUGCCCCAGCAGUCCUGCCGUUGUCGGAGGAUGUGUCCUCCGUGUCGGAGUCAGAGACUGCCCUGGAACUGGCGGCUUGUGCGAGCUCGGACCAUCCCGGACCGGUUUCUGUAGCAGCGGCCCCGGCAGCUGGUCCUCCCUUCCGUGGAGCGGGAGCUGCCCGCCAGCUGACUGGGGGGACAGCCCGUCUCCCUGCUUUUAAGAUCAGCAUUCUCGGCGGGUUCGGGGGUGUUUUUUCGGGGAUUGUCCCAUGGAGGCUGCCAUCUCUGCCGCCUCUCUUGCGCCCUAGUGGCGGGGGGCAGGUGCAUCCCGAGAGCUCUGCCUCUGGUUCCCAGACCGGAGGGGGUGGGGAUGAAGCCAUGGGGCAGACGGAAGACAAACCUGCUGCGUUUGCAGUGCAGAGGGAG